GCAUGAAGGUGAAAAUAUUUCACAUUUUGUUCUAUUAACCCCCUGCAAAAAGUGAUAUGAGGCAUUUGCUUCCGGGGGGUGGUGAACUCGUUGCAGGUUGCUACGAUAUUUUCCGCUUGGAUAUUCGGAAUAUAAAAUAUUUCACGACACGUAACACGUUGCAAAUAUUAAUUUCCAUAGCUUUGAAAACAUUUUCUACAAAUUGAACAAGCAAAAGCACAAGAAAAACCUCGCGUAGAAGAACCCUUCGCUACAAUUAUGAAAGCUUUAAUUUUAGUCGGCGGGUAUGGUACUCGAUUGCGUCCUUUGACACUUUCCCAACCGAAACCACUCGUAGAAUUUUGUAAUAAACCUAUGAUGCUGCAUCAAGUAGAAGCUUUAGUACAGGUUAGAUUGUUAUCCACAAGUAACGUUUAUAUUUUUGUUGCUUUUGUUAGCUAAAGUAUUGAUUCGAUCGAGGCAUUUUAUAUGAAGUAUAAAGGUUCAUAUACUGGGUUUUUUAUAGCCGUUUGUAAAAAUUGUUUACAUAAAAUAUAGUUUAUAGUUGUAUGAAGGUAUUAUUUAUUUAUAUUAUAUUGUAAAUAUAAAAUAUGAAUGGGAAAAAGUAAAGAAAUUAUUAUAUUUCCCCAAUUAUUAAAAUUAUAGAUUAUAAGAUUAGCAUUUUUAAAUUAAUAGUAAAUAUGCCACUUAUUGACAAGUAUUAAACCGAUUUUGAAUGAUUUAAUGCUUCUGCAAAUGUCAUGCAAUUAAUUUACAUAUGUUGAGCCACAUACUACCGCUAAUAGCUAGGCCAGAAACUGAUCAGUGAUCAUUGGCUUGGCCUAAGCCAAGUCUUGUGACACCUUGAUUCCUGGACGAACAUCUUCGCACCCUCCCUAGAUGCCUUAAAGAGUAAUAGUGAUGUUGAUACAUAAUAUGAUCUUUCUGUUGUAGGCUGGUGUGACACAAAUCAUUCUGGCUGUCAGUUACAGAGCUGAGAUGUUGGAAAAAGAAAUGUCUACUCAUGCAGAGAGA